rnacentral:rRNA from 1 species
CGGUUAAGUUAGAAAGGGCGCACGGUGGAUGCCUUGGCACUAGGAGCCGAUGAAGGACGGGACGAACACCGAUAUGCUUCGGGGAGCUGUAAGCAAGCUUUGAUCCGGAGAUUUCCGAAUGGGGAAACCCACCACUCGUAAUGGAGUGGUAUCCAUAUCUGAAUACAUAGGAUAUGAGAAGGCAGACCCGGGGAACUGAAACAUCUAAGUACCCGGAGGAAGAGAAAGCAAAUGCGAUUCCCUGAGUAGCGGCGAGCGAAACGGGAUCAGCCCAAACCAAGAGGCUUGCCUCUUGGGGUUGUAGGACACUCUGUACGGAGUUACAAAGGAACGAGGUAGAUGAAGAGGUCUGGAAAGGCCCGCCAUAGGAGGUAACAGCCCUGUAGUCAAAACUUCGUUCUCUCCUGAGUGGAUCCUGAGUACGGCGGAACACGUGAAAUUCCGUCGGAAUCCGGGAGGACCAUCUCCCAAGGCUAAAUACUCCCUAGUGACCGAUAGUGAACCAGUACCGUGAGGGAAAGGUGAAAAGCACCCCGGAAGGGGAGUGAAAGAGAUCCUGAAACCGUGUGCCUACAAGUAGUCAGAGCCCGUUAACGGGUGAUGGCGUGCCUUUUGUAGAAUGAACCGGCGAGUUACGAUCCCGUGCAAGGUUAAGCAGAAGAUGCGGAGCCGCAGCGAAAGCGAGUCUGAAUAGGGCGAAUUGAGUACGUGGUCGUAGACCCGAAACCAGGUGAUCUACCCAUGUCCAGGGUGAAGUUCAGGUAACACUGAAUGGAGGCCCGAACCCACGCACGUUGAAAAGUGCGGGGAUGAGGUGUGGGUAGGGGUGAAAUGCCAAUCGAACCUGGAGAUAGCUGGUUCUCUCCGAAAUAGCUUUAGGGCUAGCCUCAAGGUAAGAGUCUCGGAGGUAGAGCACUGAUUGGACUAGGGGCCCCUACCGGGUUACCGAAUUCAGUCAAACUCCGAAUGCCGAUGACUUAUCCUUGGGAGUCAGACUGCGAGUGAUAAGAUCCGUAGUCGAAAGGGAAACAGCCCAGACCGCCAGCUAAGGUCCCAAAGUAUACGUUAAGUGGAAAAGGAUGUGGAGUUGCUUAGACAACCAGGAUGUUGGCUUAGAAGCAGCCACCAUUUAAAGAGUGCGUAAUAGCUCACUGGUCGAGUGACUCUGCGCCGAAAAUGUACCGGGGCUAAACGUAUCACCGAAGCUGCGGACUGUUCUUCGAACAGUGGUAGGAGAGCGUUCUAAGGGCUGUGAAGCAAGACCGGAAGGACUUGUGGAGCGCUUAGAAGUGAGAAUGCCGGUAUGAGUAGCGAAAGAGGGGUGAGAAUCCCCUCCACCGAAUGCCUAAGGUUUCCUGAGGAAGGCUCGUCCGCUCAGGGUUAGUCGGGACCUAAGCCGAGGCCGAAAGGCGUAGGCGAUGGAUAACAGGUUGAUAUUCCUGUACCACCUCCUCACCAUUUGAGCAAUGGGGGGACGCAGGAGGAUAGGGUAAGCGCGGUAUUGGAUAUCCGCGUCCAAGCAGUUAGGCUGGGAAAUAGGCAAAUCCGUUUCCCGUGAAGGCUGAGCUGUGAUGGCGAGCGAAUUAUAGUAGCGAAGUUCCUGAUUCCACACUGCCAAGAAAAGCCUCUAGCGAGGUGAGAGGUGCCCGUACCGCAAACCGACACAGGUAGGCGAGGAGAGAAUCCUAAGGUGAUCGAGAGAACUCUCGUUAAGGAACUCGGCAAAAUGACCCCGUAACUUCGGGAGAAGGGGUGCUCUGUUAGGGUGCAAGCCCGAGAGAGCCGCAGUGAAUAGGCCCAGGCGACUGUUUAGCAAAAACACAGGUCUCUGCGAAGCCGUAAGGCGAAGUAUAGGGGCUGACGCCUGCCCGGUGCUGGAAGGUUAAGAGGAGCGCUUAGCGUAAGCGAAGGUGCGAAUUGAAGCCCCAGUAAACGGCGGCCGUAACUAUAACGGUCCUAAGGUAGCGAAAUUCCUUGUCGGGUAAGUUCCGACCCGCACGAAAGGCGCAACGAUCUGGGCACUGUCUCAACGAGAGACUCGGUGAAAUUAUAGUACCUGUGAAGAUGCAGGUUACCCGCGACAGGACGGAAAGACCCCGUGGAGCUUUACUGCAGCCUGAUAUUGAAUGUUGGUACAGCUUGUACAGGAUAGAUAGGAGCCUUGGAAACCGGAGCGCCAGCUUCGGUGGAGGCAUCGGUGGGAUACUACCCUGGCUGUAUUGACCUUCUAACCCGCCGCCCUUAUCGGGCGGGGAGACAGUGUCAGGUGGGCAGUUUGACUGGGGCGGUCGCCUCCUAAAAGGUAACGGAGGCGCCCAAAGGUUCCCUCAGAAUGGUUGGAAAUCAUUCGCAGAGUGUAAAGGCACAAGGGAGCUUGACUGCGAGACCUACAAGUCGAGCAGGGACGAAAGUCGGGCUUAGUGAUCCGGUGGUUCCGCAUGGAAGGGCCAUCGCUCAACGGAUAAAAGCUACCCCGGGGAUAACAGGCUUAUCUCCCCCAAGAGUCCACAUCGACGGGGAGGUUUGGCACCUCGAUGUCGGCUCAUCGCAUCCUGGGGCUGUAGUCGGUCCCAAGGGUUGGGCUGUUCGCCCAUUAAAGCGGUACGCGAGCUGGGUUCAGAACGUCGUGAGACAGUUCGGUCCCUAUCCGUCGCGGGCGCAGGAAAUUUGAGAGGAGCUGUCCUUAGUACGAGAGGACCGGGAUGGACGCACCGCUGGUGUACCAGUUGUUCUGCCAAGGGCAUCGCUGGGUAGCUAUGUGCGGACGGGAUAAGUGCUGAAAGCAUCUAAGCAUGAAGCCCCCCUCAAGAUGAGAUUUCCCAUUCCGCAAGGAAGUAAGAUCCCUGAAAGAUGAUCAGGUUGAUAGGUCUGAGGUGGAAGUGUGGCGACACAUGGAGCUGACAGAUACUAAUCGAUCGAGGACUUAACCAA